AUUCCUUUGGGGACAUCCAAUAAAAUUGGGACAAUACAGAGAAAAUUAGCGUGACUCCUGCGUAAGGAUGACACGCACAAAUCGAAAAAUAGUACAAUUUUUA
rnacentral:snRNA from 2 species